rnacentral:rRNA from 1 species
AAGUUUAGCAGAACAUUCUGGAAAGUAUAACCAUAGAGGGUGAUAGUCCCGUAUGCGAAAAACAAACCUUAGCUAGCAGUAUCCUGAGUAGGGCGGGACACGAGGAAUCCUGUCUGAAUCUGGGUCGACCACGAUCCAACCCUAAAUACUAAUACCAGAUCGAUAGUGCACAAGUACCGUGAGGGAAAGGUGAAAAGAACUGAGGUGAUCAGAGUGAAAUAGAACCUGAAACCAUUUGCUUACAAUCAUUCAGAGCCCUAUGUAGCAAUACAGGGUGAUGGACUGCCUUUUGCAUAAUGAGCCUGCGAGUUGUGGUGUCUGGCAAGGUUAAGCAAACGCGAAGCCGUAGCGAAAGCGAGUCUGAAUAGGGCGCUUAGUCAGAUGCUGCAGACCCGAAACGAAGUGAUCUAUCCAUGAGCAAGUUGAAGCUAGUGUAAGAACUAGUGGAGGACUGAACCCAUAGGCGUUGAAAAGCCCCGGGAUGACUUGUGGAUAGGGGUGAAAGGCCAAUCAAACUUCGUGAUAGCUGGUUCUCUCCGAAAUAUAUUUAGGUAUAGCGUUGUGUCGUAAUAUAAGGGGGUAGAGCACUGAAUGGGCUAGGGCAUACACCAAUGUACCAAACCCUAUCAAACUCCGAAUACCUUAUAUGUAAUCACAGCAGUCAGGCGGCGAGUGAUAAAAUCCGUCGUCAAGAGGGAAACAACCCAGACUACCAGCUAAGGUCCCUAAAUCUUACUUAAGUGGAAAACGAUGUGAAGUUACUUAAACAACCAGGAGGUUGGCUUAGAAGCAGCCAUCCUUUAAAGAAAGCGUAAUAGCUCACUGGUCUAGUGAUUUUGCGCGGAAAAUAUAACGGGGCUAAAGUAAGUACCGAAGCUGUAGACUUAGUUUACUAAGUGGUAGGAGAGCGUUCUAUUUGCGUCGAAGGUAUACCGGUAAGGAGUGCUGGAGCGAAUAGAAGUGAGCAUGCAGGCAUGAGUAGCGAUAAUUAAUGUGAGAAUCAUUAACGCCGUAAACCCAAGGUUUCCUACGCGAUGCUCGUCAUCGUAGGGUUAGUCGGGUCCUAAGUCGAGUCCGAAAGGGGUAGACGAUGGCAAAUUGGUUAAUAUUCCAAUACCAACAUUAGUGUGCGAUGGAAGGACGCUUAGGGCUAAGGGGGCUAGCGGAUGGAAGUGCUAGUCUAAGGUCGUAGGAGGUUAUACAGGCAAAUCCGUAUAACAAUACUCCGAGAACUGAAAGGCUUUUUGAAGUCUUCGGAUGGAUAGAAGAACCCCUGAUGCCGUCGAGCCAAGAAAAGUUUCUAAGUUUAGCUAAUGUUGCCCGUACCGUAAACCGACACAGGUGGGUGGGAUGAGUAUUCUAAGGCGCGUGGAAGAACUCUCUUUAAGGAACUCUGCAAAAUAGCACCGUAUCUUCGGUAUAAGGUGUGGUUAGCUUUGUAUUAGGAUUUACUCCGAAAGCAAGGAAACUUACAACAAAGAGUCCCUCCCGACUGUUUACCAAAAACACAGCACUCUGCUAACUCGUAAGAGGAUGUAUAGGGUGUGACGCCUGCCCGGUGCUCGAAGGUUAAUUGAUGGGGUUAGCAUUAGCGAAGCUCUUGAUCGAAGCCCGAGUAAACGGCGGCCGUAACUAUAACGGUCCUAAGGUAGCGAAAUUCCUUGUCGGUUAAAUACCGACCUGCAUGAAUGGCGUAACGAGAUGGGAGCUGUCUCAAAGAGGGAUCCAGUGAAAUUGUAGUGGAGG